ACGACGUUGUAAAACGACGUUAUGCAUGAACGUAAUGCUCAUAACUUCCCUCUAGAUCUAGCUGCUAUAGAUGCCCCAUCUAUAAAUGGAUAAGACCUCGGUCUUAUUGUCUAAUUGUAUAGGAGUUAUUGAAAAAUAAAGUAGCAACAGGGAUUUCUUACUCUAUUAAGAAAUAAGAAAUCCCUGUUGCUACUUUAUUUUAUAUUGUAUUGUGCUUAAAUAGAGAAUUUUAGACUUUAAUAUUCAAAUUAAAACAUUCACAAUUUGAGUAGGGGCGGAUGUAGCCAAGUGGAUCAAGGCAGUGGAUUG
rnacentral:misc_RNA from 1 species